rnacentral:tRNA from 1 species
GCCCUCGGUGGCUCAGAAGGAUAGAGCGUCUGCCAUGUAAGCAGGAGAUCCUGGGUUCGAGUCCCGGUCGGGGCA